rnacentral:rRNA from 1 species
ACUCCUACGGGAGGCAGCAGUAGGGAAUCUUCCACAAUGGGCGCAAGCCUGAUGGAGCAACACCGCGUGAGUGAAGAAGGGUUUCGGCUCGUAAAGCUCUGUUGUUAAAGAAGAACACGUAUGAGAGUAACUGUUCAUACGUUGACGGUAUUUAACCAGAAAGUCACGGCUAACUACGUGCCAGCAGCCGCGGUAAUACGUAGGUGGCAAGCGUUAUCCGGAUUUAUUGGGGCGUAAAGAGAGUGCAGGCGGUUUUCUAAGUCUGAUGUGAAAGCCUUCGGCUUAACCGGAGAAGUGCAUCGGAAACUGGAUAACUUGAGUGCAGAAGAGGGUAGUGGAACUCCAUGUGUAGCGGUGGAAUGCGUAGAUAUAUGGAAGAACACCAGUGGCGAAGGCGGCUACCUGGUCUGCAACUGACGCUGAGGCUCGAAAGUAUGGGUAGCAAACAGGAUUAGACUACCGUGGUA